CUGUGGCUGGUGGGUUUCUCUUGGCUAUUUUCAUUAUCCGCUGCCAUCGAGGAUUCCAGGGGUGCCGGUCCUGUCUUUAGAUCGGGUGGAGAUUGUAAGGUUCGGAGGUGGGAGUCAUGGCCAGGUGGACUGACCCACAGCAGCUACUCUGGAAGAAGAAUAGGUCAAGAGUUGCAGCUGAGUGACUUUUGAGCGCAGGAACAGUUGGUGAGCACCCCGGCCUUGGCAUCAGGAAGCCUCUGGUCUUGUGCUUCUGCAGUCUGGGUCUUGAGACGGAUGGCCUUGAACUUGCAGUCCCACCUAAGCAUCCCAAGUGCAGGGAGUAUGGGCAUGCACCACCACACCUGGCACGUUUUGUAUUUUCUGCUGGCAUCUGAGGACUUGGCAGAUGAUGGAUACUGAAAAAGCAGGCUUGACCACACUGACACCUGUUAAGUGGAAUAAGGGAGUUUGAAGCCUCCCUCAGCCUUCUAGAUGUCAGCAGCUCUGGUUGUGGCCCAGGCUGAUGUGUUUCAGACAGACUUCUGUGAUCAGGUUUGGGUCCCAAACCUGAGGUUCUCUGCUUUUGGAAUAAAGAGUCUGGCUGCCUUCGGCCCUGGUAUCCUCUGAGUGAAAAAUGAGAUAUUUAAUAAAC